UGUAGUGACAGUACAAGGAGUAACGGCUUUAAACUUAAAGAGAGUCAACUUAGAACAGAUUUAGGAAGAAAUUCUUUACUGCAAUACGGCUGAGACACUGAACAGGUUGCCCAGAAAAGCUGUGGCCACCACAUUCCUGGAAGUGUCCAAGGCAAGGUUGGAUGGGCCUUGGAACAACCUGGAAGUUGUGGAAGGUGUCCCUGCCCAUGGCAGGGGGGUGGAAGGAGGUGAUCUUUAAGGUCCCUUUUGACCCAAAGCAUUCUGUGAUUCUGUGCUGUUCACAGCGUAGCCUGGUAGGCUCCUGUAGUUAGACUUGAUUUUGUCAGUGACUGCUAAGUCUAGGAAGCCGCAGUUUCCAAAAUUAACAGUAAAAUAAGAUGAAAAAUCAUAAUGAGAGGAAAACAGAUCAUGAGAACUCAGUUUAUUAUCUGUCUCCUGUGUCUGAAAGAUGCUAUCUUUACCUCUCAACUUCUCCUACCAUCAGUUGGGGUGAUGACUGGGAGCAGCACCAGCUCAGAUGGAGAGUGUGCCACCCACUGAGGCACUGGUACUGCUUCCUGUUGGCACAGCCCCUCCUGGUAGGAGCUGCUCUUCUGCUGAACCUCCCUCACUUCUUCUUAUGAGCAGAAAGCAGAAGUGAUAUGAGUCACCUCACAAGACCACCUGCUAAAUUCUUCUCCUAUGGUCUUGAGCCAGAUGCCACCUGCUAAUAAUGAAUGUGAAGAUAGAGCUCUUCAGGAUAUUGCUCAGAAUCAGAGACUCUUUCUUCAGGAUUAAUUUCCUAAGGAAAAGUAAUAAAUAUCAAAAAUAUGAGUGCCCACUUCUCAGGAGCUCCAAAAUUCUGAAAUUUAUUGUCUUCACAGAAACCUAACCACUGCUGUUACUCAGCUCUAAUGAAAUAAAAUCCAUUCUAAGGAAAUAAACCACAUAUUAAAUAUUUUUUUGUUCGAACAUGAGUAAAAUAACUUUCAAAUUUAUCUUUAACAAUGUGUAUUCAGGCACAUUUUCUGUCUUGUAUAAGACCCUCCCAAACUUAGAAGACUAAGUAUAUGAGAGUCUUCCAGUAAAAGACUAGCUUCCAUCUCCAAUGUCACUGUAAUUCCUUUUUUCAUAUCCAGAAUUAUUUGCUGAAGCAAUGACUGAAACCAUGAAAUCGUGACAGCCUGCACACUGGGAAAAGACAGCUAACAUAGCAUCAGAAGUUGGUAGUUUGCAUUUGUCCACUAUUCUCAUAGUUGUAACUUCUAACCAAAGAUUCACAGAGAAGAUACCCACCUCUUCCCCACUGCCACAGCCCAUGCAACGUGGGUCUUUUGAGAUGAAGUGCCCCCACAUCUCUGGGACAUAUGAGUGAAUCUGGAAUUUUUGUAGAAAUAGUAAUCUGAGAGAAAGCAAGAAGAAAAGUGGCUUUCAUCUUUUAUACUCAUCAAGUCUGGGACAGCUUCCAAAUCAAUGAGUAUAUGCACUCAGUUUUGUCUUGGUUUUUGAGUUACAACCAUGAAAUAACCAACUGAGACCCAUAGAUUUUAACAAACCAAUGUGAAAGACAAUGUGGUCUUUGAAAUUGGUUUCGAAUCUGUCUAUGGGUUAAACACAGAGUUUUUUGCCUUUGAAAAUCCUUAAGCAAAGACGCCUUCGCCUCUGAGGAACGACAUUUUAUUAAUGUGCAUGCUUGUGUAUGUUAGCAUGUGCAUGAAUAUAUGAAUAAAAGUAUAGACAACUAUUAUACAAAUACUUCUUAUAAAGACAUAAGUUUAUGGAAUUAAAAACAGUAGCCUCAGUGUUGUAUCUCUGAACAUGUAGUAUAUGUCAGAAUUUAGUUGAUAUGUACCAUUCAAGAACAUAUUUAUCACCCAAAAGCAUUCCUUAUUUUACACUCUUACUUCCUGUACCUUAUUUCAGGCAGUCAUAAUUUCAUAGGCAUUUAUUUUGACUUGUUUUUUAAGUGGUAGAAGAAAGAACAGAAUCAGGAUAUAAUGGCUGGCCAAACCCUGAUGUCUUUACUUAGAUCUUACUCAGAUAAAACUGCUCAGGACUUCUACCUGCAGAAAGACCACAGGAAUUAGCCCUACAAAUGGUUUCCUCCCUUCCAAGAGGUAAAUAUAUGUCUUUGUUCUUUUAUCUGUUUGUUGCCAGGGUGACAGGCUUAUGCAGUUUGAGAGUACAACAGUAAGGCCUUAGGGUGUCACUUUAAGAUAACCACACACUCAGUUUUCUGUUUAGCUUCAUUAUUUUAUUUUUAGUUUUAUUCAUAACUAUUUGCUACUGAAAAAUGCCUAUUGUCAGCUCCAGGUGUGUUUGCCAACAUUAAAAAGUAUAAUCACAAUAAAAGAAAAGCCAGGAGCUAUUCCACCUCCCACAUGCCAAAAUUAACAAACCAUAGCAAAAAUUAAAAUCAACAAUAUUUUACUGUCCUCCUUCCCUUCCUUCUUCUCUCUAUCCUCUACAUCCUCCUUCCUACGAGCUAUCCGGAUUUCUUUCCAAAUGCCUGAAUAAAUGAAUAACAUGCAGCAUGGAUGUUCAGUUGAUGUUGCAAAAACAUAAUUUUGGCCCUGUUUUCAUACCACUGACAGUGUGCAUAAGGAAGAAACCCAUUUUCAUACUAAGAAUUCUCUUUUUCAUAGUAGUGCAUAACUUCUGUAUGGUCGUCUGACAGAAGGAAACCCAAGCCUUCCCUUUUCCAUGGACUUUGGAGGCAUGGAAAUCUGCAAUUAUCUCUACAGCUUAGAGUGCCCCUUGAGUUUUUAGUAGUCCUUCUAAUUCAGACCUGUAUUUGAGGCUGGAGACCAGAUCCAGACACAAAAAGCCAAGGCAACCUGCAAGUUUUCUAUCAUGUCUUGAACCACAAAAACGAUGGCCCAGCCUUCACUCCUCGUCCCACCAACAGAUGCUGUGCACAGAUAAGCUACGUGAGCAGUGACUUGGGAAAAGCUGUUGUAAGGCUGUUUGAUGAAGCUGGAGAAGUGCUCAAAAGCCACAGGAUCAGGCAGCAGGGUCCUGUGGCUAACUCUAAAUAGCAAAGGAAACUGAAAAAAACGUGUUUUAACCUAUGCUGGGCUGCACUGUGUUCUCGUCCUAUGGAAAUUGUGCCUGUUCAGCAUUGCUUGGCUAAACUCACAGCAGGGUCCACACAUUGACAGAAAGAGAUGGAUUUGCGUUACCAGAAAAGGUGGGAAAGCAGUUGCAAUUUCAACAGCUUUUCAAGUGUAUUUAAGUCACCUGAAGUAUGGCCCCAUGUGGUAAAAGACAGUUUGGCCUCGGCAGUGUUAGGACAUGUUGGAUUCAUUGAGUUUUCUCAGUAGCCUAUUAUCACUGGACCACCUGGAGCGCUGGGAUACCAACCCUGGCUGCUGUAGACCCAAAGGAAGAGCAUUCCAGCCCUUGUUUGGACUCCCCUCUACUUUGCAAACUGUUGAGAUGAAGCACGAAGGUAUAAAAAAAAUUCAGGAGAGAUGGACAAAUCCCAUGAGGGCCCAAAAAUGUCUUUAUCUGAGACAGCUGAGAGCUUUGCCAUCUCCCACUGGCACCCAGCCACAUGUGGUGAGCCAAGACAGGUGGUCUGCUGGGCUGGAAGACACACUAAGACAGUCUGGUCAGCCAGACGGGCCAGCAUGAGGAGUUCAGUGAAUGGGACUCUUCUCCUUGCACAUGAACGAGUCCAGUGCAGUACAAUGGGGUACUGUGCUGCUGAAGAAGUUGUUCUUCGGGUGAGACAUUACACUCAUAAAACUCAGUGGAGGUCCUGACCACUUUGUGGGCAUUAAAGAUCCCAUGACUUCUAGCAAUGACUUUGGUGUCCUGGCCACGCUCCAACUUGGAACGCUUUGUCUCGUUGGACUCCCUAUACAGCUCCUAUUCAGAAAUGUUGUCUUCACAAAGUCUACGUUUAGAUGAGCUCAUGUUAAGCUGCCGUUUCAAAGUUGAUGCCAAAAUGGAAAAAGAAUUGUAAAAAUAAUUAGCGAUGAUUACUGAUAAUUACCUACACAUGGUUGGUGUACCAGACUCAGAGAAAUACCUCAGAAUGAAAAAUGUCAUGUAAAUAUAGGGUGUUACUAAGUUUCUGGCUGGGGUUUUGAAAUACUCAGAACCGUACGUAUGGAAUCACACUUUUUUUAUCAGAACAAGAAGUGCUGUCUUGUUGUUUAAGAUCUUAAAAUCAGAUUGUGCUCUGGGUAAGUUACCAGUAAUACUUGCAAAGAUAUGAGACCCUUCGAGAAAAGUCAGUUUAACAAAUUCUAAAGUAGGACUUGAAGAAGCUUAAUUUGACAAACAGAGCUUUGAAUCACGUUCAUCACUGUCGGAGGAGCUGCCCACCACACUUCUCUUUGCCAUUUGGAAGAGCAGGUCAGACACUGGCAAAACCAGGCCACCAAGUCUGCUAGAGGCAAUUUAAAUACAACACAUCGAGAUAACAUUUGCUUUAAGCUUUUCAUUUUCACAGCCUUACGCAGUGAGAGCGGCUUAUGAAGUCUCCCAUUUAAAGCCUGAUUUGUGAUUUAUAGUGAUUUAUAACAACACUAAAACCUCCCACAAAAGACAAAUUAAUACUCAGAUGCUUUUUCAGCACCUCCUUUGAGAAAAAGAGUUUUGAGCCAGUGCCAAGGAGUGGGAGGCAAGUAUUUCUACUGAAACACAAAUGGGUGGCAAACUCUGGAAUAACAUUUUGGCAUGAAAUACACACUACAUUUUUGGAGUCUUUUCUCUUUAAAAUGUCUGAGCAUUUCAAUUUAACAAAUUAAACCUUCCCUAAUAAAAUGAGUUGGUCAAGGAGAAAAGAAGGAAUUUAAGUUAAGUCUCCGUAAAUGUUUUUUGCACAUUUGUGCUUAAAGCUUGCUGCCUGGUCUGCCUCUCAGUUCAUGGCAGUUCCAAAAUAUGGAGUACUUGUUUUGGCUCUAGGCUUACUAUUAUAUUGCCAUUAAAAUUCCAACUAAAUCCUCCAGGUUUGUAAUUAGAACUAUGGAGAGACCCAGGAGUUAAACACAAAGGAUGCUGAACUUCAGCAGAGGAAAUUACAGCACAAUAUGAUGCGAGAUGUGUUGGAUGAAAUUAAACGGAACAAAUCAGUGAAGCAGAUAGGGAAGGAGAGCAUGUCCAAAGAUCAAUUAAUGCAUGUCUGAGUGUUAUGAGCAGUGCUAAAAAGCAGUGCAUUAAGGCUAAACUGGGACUCUUAACAGAUGCAAAAGAAAGUGCAAAAAACAUAUGAAGAACAAAGCAAGACAGAUGGAAUCAUUCUGUAGAAGAGGAGUUAAAAACCAGUAGGAUUAUUUGAUGACCAGUUAGAGGAGAAAGGUAAUAAAAUUUCAUGCUUCAAGGUAUAAGCUGGUAACCAUGGGGGUCUGUAAGUAACUUUUUCCUUCUCUGGAAUAUUGCAAAAUUGGAUGACAGAGUCUUUACAAGGAUUGCACUUUCUCUCCCUCUCCUUUAGUCUUCUGGCUUUGAUUGAAACAUUGGGUGUGUGCCAGUCUCAGACCUAGACAAAGGCUGAUGCUCAAAUGGUCAACUACAGUGAAUUUUAUUUUCUGUCAAAAGGGAUGAAAACCAAAACAUAAUAAGAGAUGAACCUGAACAAAAUAAGAUUCCGGUUCAGUCUUCCUUGUUUCUGAGGGUUUUAUAGUGGCUUGGGUGGGAAUUCUGCCCCAGCAUGGACUGCACAAUUGAAUUUUACUAAUGACAGAUGAGAUUUUCUGUAUGUGUAACCAGCCUGCCAGGUGUUGCUGGCAGUAAUGAAGGCCAAACUGAGUACCUAAAUUUUUUCUUAAAAUUACAACACAAAAUUGCUCAGAAAAAAUAGCCCAGAAACCUUAAGAAACCAAACACUUCCCACAGGUACCCUAGCCAGUAUUUCCCAUUCAUAAACAUAGAAUCUAAUAAUUAAAUGGCAUUAAUUCAGGGAAAAAACCUACUAGUGGUGAGUUGAUAAAGAAAACACUGGAUUUCCCACUAUCUUGGCCAGGAUAUCUCAGAAUGGAUCCAAACACUUCCAGAGGACAAAUGUCUCCAUAGGAUGCAGCUUGCCCCCUUUCUUCACUUCUCCCCACCUUGGUUUAUUGUUGUUAUCACACAUUUUGCUGCUUCCACUCCACCUGUAAGCCAGGCAUUAAUCCAGCAAUCCACAUUGUCCAUAUGGCUCCAUUUGAGUUAGCUGCCCAAACUAACCAUCAGUGGACAAUAAAACAGAUCCUCCUGGAUCAUGGUUGAUUUAAUCUUAAAGUGGAAAGAGCCAGGGAAUGGGCACAAGCCCUGGCAUAUGACUUUUCAGACUGAUAAAUUGUUAGUGUAUAACCUGGAAGUACUUCUGUCCAGGCCACCUAGCAUCAUGCUAAGGAGCAUUUAGGUCUUGUUCUUGGUGUGGAUCAAGGAUGUCUCCCAACAGACUGUUUGGAUGCAGCCACCCUGCUCUGGAGGUGAGUUGAACUGUGCCAUUGUGGGAUCUUCCACUGGGCUCGAGUCCUGGCCUGUUUUAUUUAUUUGUACAGUAGCUGUGGAGACUUCACUCAAUAAUUUUAAAUCCUCUUCUGCUUCUUUUUGAUUACAGAACAUGGAGAAUAACAUCCUGGCGAUGCAGUUGGAGUUAGUGUCAGCUACAAGCUAAAGCAUUCCUACAAACUCACCUCUUAUCACAAGUGGGAAUGAAGCUUGAUCAUUUUAUUUUUAAUUUCACCAAGAAGUGAUAGAAUGGAAUGGAAUAGAAUAGAAUAGAAUAGAAUAGAACUAUUUCAGUUAGAAGGAUUUACAGCAACCCUAUAAUCCAACUGCCUGACAGAAGCAUGAUCUUACCAGAUCCCCAGACUGCAGAUUAUCCAAGAAAAGGUCAGCUAAAGCAAGAUAAGGUGGAUAAUGAAACAAAGCCACUUACAAUAGCAUCAUAUCUUUUGAUCACCUCCAGAAAAGAACAGUAAAAAUAAUGUUGCUGACAUUCUGUAUAGUUCAUUCAGCUUGAUGCAGAGCUGAUGGAAGGAUCUACAACUGGUCCUGAGUCAGGUCUGUGUAAUCAUGACCCUAGUCCUGUUUUAACAAGAGGAAAGUGGUGCAGGUGGCAAAUAAACCCU